CUUAAAAAAUCCGUCGACUUUAGAAAUCG
rnacentral:tRNA from 1 species